UGGGAGGCAGGAGCUGUGUCCUGCAGCAGCCGCUGACAUUUCAGUGCCAUCCCCACAGUGUUUUGUGUUCCCCGCUGGGCGCGGGCGGAGGGCACGGAGAUGGGGAAUUAAACUUUGAACCGAGGAACCCCCGGGUUUGAGGGGCCGGGGCUUUGAAGAGCAGGAGAUCACAAGAACAAUUUCCUGUUGGUUGCUUGGCUUCAGCUGCAGCUCCAUGCGGAGCUGGACUGGGAGCUCAGGCUGAGCCCCGGCAGCAGCCGGGUUGUUGUGUGCUGAGCAAAUACGGCACAUAGGACACGGCUCCAUCCCUUUGGGACCUGGGGUCACACUCAUUAAGGGCUUUUCCUACCCUGAAUGGGGUGAUUUGCACUGUGGUAUAAUCUAUUGCUCUUCAAAAAUCUUUGGUUUCUCUUUUGGUAAAGGUUGCAAAGUGAAAUUUGCCUUCAUUACAUCGUUAGGAUUGACACCUAUAGUCAUACAGUUAGAAGAACCCACACCCUUUCAGUAUUUUAUCUUGGGGCAAAAUUGGGAGAAAAUUAGACUAAAAGUAUUAGAAUUCAGUCAGAGUUUUUGAUAGUAAUGUAACUGCUUUAAUGCUAAAAAUGAAGCUUUAUAUAUGAAAGUGUUGCCUGACAGUCACUUAGCAGGAUCCCUGUCAACUAUUCAAAGCUCAUCACCACUAGUAUUUCUCUAAUACUGUCCUGCUAACAGAGUAAUAGCCCAGGAGUGAUUGUACAGACAGUGAAAUACCCUCUCAAACAUAUACCCUGUGCAUAUAGUUCUAUUUAUAUAUAUAUAUACACAGGCACAUAUGUAUGCACAGGCUUUAUAACAACUCUUACCUGAAAAUGUCAGGACUGAAGGUCAAUCUGCUGAGUGCAGCAAAUGCACUAUAAAUUCUUUUUGGAUCCAAGUGGAGAAUAUUUGUUUGCUGCUGUCAGUUUUGAGGUUAUAUGUAUUACUCACUGUCAGGAAGCUCGUUCUCCAAAUAAUAAAUAGAUCUGUCAUAAAAAUUCUAACAUACCUUAAAAAUGUGUUGUAGGAAAAACAAUGUUUUUAUAGAUUAGCACAUCCUUCUUGCUGACUUUGUGAAGGAAUUUGAGGGUACACAGUAAACUUUUAUUAAGAAUUUAUGGUUUCCUGGCUCACAUUUACUGUGUAUUGAUAAGAAUAAUCUCAUUGUUUUAACACAGCUCUAUUGGCUUGUAUUCUUUUCUCUACUUUCCAUUGGUGGUUUUUUAAUUGAGCCAAAAAGAAACAAUAUCCCUGGGGAAGACUUGAGAGCAGAAGCAUACUGUCAGCUGGACUGAGUCAUAAAUUCUUCAGUCAACAGCAGUUCUGUGAAUGCCGGGAACAGAAAUGUUAAAGUCUUGUACAGAGAGUAAAGAGCUGAGACUUGCAAGUGAA